rnacentral:rRNA from 1 species
UACGUAGGGUGCAAGCGUUAAUCGGAAUUACUGGGCGUAAAGCGUGCGCAGGCGGCUUUGCAAGACAGAUGUGAAAUCCCCGGGCUUAACCUGGGAACUGCAUUUGUGACUGCAUGGCUGGAGUGCGGCAGAGGGGGGAUGGAAUUCCGCGUGUAGCAGUGAAAUGCGUAGAUAUCGGAAGGAACACCAGUGGCGAAAGCGGCUUCCUGGUCCAGCACCGACGUUCAGGCACGAAAGCGUGGGGAGCAAACAGG